rfam:Asian citrus Psyllid, Diaphorina citri - Florida Strain, whole genome shotgun sequence.
GCCUAGUUAGCUUAGUUGGUAGUGCGUCUGCCUUGUAAGCGCUAGGCCGGGGGUUCGAUUCCCACCCGGGGCG